rnacentral:rRNA from 1 species
UACGUAGGUGGCAAGCGUUAUCCGGAUUUAUUGGGCGUAAAGAGAACGCGGGCGGUCUUUUAAGUCUGAUGUGAAAGCCUUCGGCUUAACCGGAGUAGUGCAUUGGAAACUGGGAGACUUGAGUGCAGAAGAGGAGAGUGGAACUUCAUGUGUAGCGGUGAAAUGCGUAGAUAUAUGGAAGAACACCAGUGGCGAAAGCGGCUCUCUGGUCUGUAACUGACGCUGAGGUUCGAAAGCGUGGGUAGCAAACAGG